UACGUAGGUGGCGAGCGUUGUCCGGAUUUACUGGGCGUAAAGAGCGCGCAGGCGGCUGGUCAAGUCCGAUGUGAAAGCUCCCGGCUUAACUGGGAAAUUGCAUCGGAAACUGAUCGGCUGGAAGGUGGGAGAGGGUAGCGGAAUUCCCGGUGUAGUGGUGAAAUGCGCAGAUAUCAGGAGGAACAGCCAGUGGCGAAGGCGGUGCUCUGGGCCGGAACUGGACG
rnacentral:rRNA from 1 species